UACGAAGGGGGCUAGCGUUGCUCGGAAUCACUGGGCGUAAAGGGUGCGUAGGCGGGUCUUUAAGUCAGGGGUGAAAUCCUGGAGCUCAACUCCAGAACUGCCUUUGAUACUGAAGAUCUUGAGUUCGGGAGAGGUGAGUGGAACUCCGAGUGUAGAGGUGAAAUUCGUAGAUAUUCGGAAGAACACCAGUGGCGAAGGCGGCUCACUGGCCCGAUACUGACGCUGAGGUGCGAAAGCGUGGGGAGCAAACAGG
rnacentral:rRNA from 1 species